UACGUAGGGGGGCGAGCGUUGUCCGGAUUCAUUGGGCGUAAAGCGCUUUAAGGCGGUUCGCUAAGUCGGGUGUGAAACCUCCAGGCUCAACCUGGAGACGCCACUCGAUACUGGCGUGACUAGAGUUCGGUAGGGGACCACGGAAUUCCUGGUGUAGCGGUGAAAUGCGCAGAUAUCAGGAGGAACACCAGUGGCGAAGGCGGUGGUCUGGGCCGAUACUGACGCUGUAGAGCGAAAGCGUGGGGAGCGAACAGG
rnacentral:rRNA from 1 species